ACAAAAAAUAGAAAUGCUUUCAUUUCUCUAUAAUAGGUAUAGAGUUUAUUUUAGUACAGCAAAACUUCUUUAUGUGAUUUGGACGCAUUAAUUAAUAACAAAGGUACCCAAAUGAAAUUAUGUUUGUGCUUGAGGAUUGCUAUCAGACAUUAAACUUUGAAGGACGGGUCAUACAAAAUUGAAGUGAAGAAAUGGCAACGGCAGCACUAAAACAAAAUGUUCAACAGCCGAGAGACGGCAUGAUUUUUUAAUGCACUGGCAAAUAAUUUGUCCGUAAGGUGCCUUGCCUACUCUGACUGCCAGCAUACCUUUUUCUGUUUUGUUUUUUUUGGUGGGUGCCCCUUAUGGGUCAAGCGCUUUGGCGUGACCAAGCUCAAGAAAUCGGAAUUGACUUUUAUGUUGGUCAUAAAAAGGAUUUUAAUGUGUUUUAUGCGCGCCAACGCAAAGUCAACAGGCCGCAUGGCUGACCACGCACAUGCCAAGGCCAACGGAGAAUAUACUUGUAGUCGUAUAACUUGGCCUACACAUAAAUCCACGAAAAAUACCAAAGAAGCUGCCCAAAACGGAAUUACGCGACUCUGCGUGUGUGCUGGCGAUAUACCACUUGGGAUACGCGUCAACGUUCGCAAUUUGCUGGAGGACAUUCAUUUCGAGUACACACACAUGACAUGCCACAUGGAACGGCACAGCACGAGCUGCACAACGUUAUAGCACCCGGCUGUGCCACCUGGCGUAUGAGUGACGCAUGGCUCAACAUUUGUUAUGGCUUACAAUCUAUUCCAAGGCCUCCCACCAUCCCAUCCCUGGGAAUCGUCUCAAGUUGAAGCUUUUUUAUUACCUGUUUCCUGUUUGUGUUGCCUUGUCUCUCAGCCUGUCAAAAUUUAUGCUAUAAAAUUUCCCGUGUAAAACUAACGUCAAGUAUACGCCCGCGUGGCCGAGCCAAAAUUCUUGCUGUGAGCCUUCCCUGUUUUGGCCACGCUUGGCAUUGUUAGCUUUGCUCGCUUCAUUUUUCAAAAUGAUUUCUAUCGCCUUUGCUCCUUUUCAAAGUUUUUGGCAUUUUACAUAUGCUAACCAACGCUUCGCCCGCUGUGCUGUGGUCUCCUCUGUUUGUGUGUUGAACCUGCUCUGGUAUCGCUGCCGGCCUUUCUAACACUGCCAUGCUAAGGCACGCGCACAAAGGCAGCUUCCCACUCUCCAGAAAUUCCUGCUGUUAUCAUCGCACCCUCGCACGUAUUGACCGCACUAUCUCCUCUCUACAUCCCAAAUUAAUGAACCUGGUAUUUAAUCCCUGCUUAAAUGCCGAUUCAUUCAC